rnacentral:rRNA from 1 species
GGAAUAUUGGACAAUGGGCGCAAGCCUGAUCCAGCCAUGCCGCGUGCAGGAUGACGGUCCUAUGGAUUGUAAACUGCUUUUAUACAGGAAGAAACAGUUCUACGUGUAGAACCUUGACGGUACUGUAAGAAUAAGGAUCGGCUAACUCCGUGCCAGCAGCCGCGGUAAUACGGAGGAUCCAAGCGUUAUCCGGAAUCAUUGGGUUUAAAGGGUCCGUAGGCGGUUUAAUAAGUCAGUGGUGAAAGCCCAUCGCUCAACGGUGGAACGGCCAUUGAUACUGUUAGACUUGAAUUAUUAGGAAGUAACUAGAAUAUGUAGUGUAGCGGUGAAAUGCUUAGAGAUUACAUGGAAUACCAAUUGCGAAGGCAGGUUACUACUAAUUGAUUGACGCUGAUGGACGAAAGCGUGGGUAGCGAACAGGAUUAGAUACCCUGG